rnacentral:lncRNA from 1 species
AACGGCUUCGUUCCAAGUAAAAGUACUCCGGAAAAAGUUUAUUUUGUUUCAUGCUGACUUCUCAAAAAUAGUACUCAAGUACAGUAACAAAGUACAUUUACUUCGACUCAUCGUUACAUGACACCACUUCAGGUACUAUUUAAUCAUGUUAGUUCUGUGAGGUCCAAUUUCAACAUUCGACUUCCUGAUCAAUGUCAGAAAAUAGGUACACACAGCGUAUAUGUAUCUGCCUAGAGUCCUAGACUAAGAGUCGAAAGUAGGUGUGGUAAGGGAAGGUACACCCUAAAGCAAGUGUUCGUAUGGCAAGUCUUAUUUGCGCAUUGACCGUGUGUACGUA